AGAGUUUGAUCCUGGCUCAGAGUGAACGCUGGCGGCGUGCCUAACACAUGCAAGUCGAGCGAGAUUGCGGAGCCCGCAAGGGUUCUGUAGUCGAGCGGCAAACGGGUGAAUAACACGUGAGAAACCCGCCCCAAAGUGGGGAAUACCCUCGAGAAAUCGAGGCUAAUACCCCAUAAGACCACGCUUCGGCAUCGGAGAGAGGUCAAAGGUCCGCAAGGACCGCUUUGGGAUGGUCUCGCGUCCUAUCAGCUAGUUGGUGAGGUAACGGCUCACCAAGGCUAUGACGGGUAGCCGGCCUGAAAGGGCGAUCGGCCACACUGGAACUGAGACACGGUCCAGACUCCUACGGGAGGCAGCAGUGGGGAAUCUUAGACAAUGGGCGCAAGCCUGAUCUAGCCAUGCCGCGUGAGCGAUGAAGGCCUUCGGGUUGUAAAGCUCUUUUGUCCGGAACGAAACGGUUUGCGUGAAUAGCGCCGACUACUGACGGUACCGGAAGAAUAAGCACCGGCUAACUACGUGCCAGCAGCCGCGGUAAUUCGUAGGGUGCGAGCGUUAAUCGGAAUUACUGGGCGUAAAGCGUGCGCAGGCGGUUUUGUAAGCCAGAUGUGAAAUCCCCGGGCUUAACCUGGGAAUGGCAUUUGGGACUGCAAGGCUCGAGUGCGGCAGAGGAGACUGGAAUUCCUGGUGUAGCAGUGAAAUGCGUAGAUAUCAGGAGGAACACCGAUGGCGAAGGCAAUCCCCUGGGCCUGUACUGACGCUCAUGCACGAAAGCGUGGGGAGUAAACAGGAUUAGAUACCCUGGUAG
rnacentral:rRNA from 1 species